rnacentral:tRNA from 1 species
GCUCCAGUGGCGUAACGGGUCAGCACGGUACUUAUAAGACAGUAACCUGCAGAGUGAUGCCGAGGUUGUGAGUUCGAUCCUCACCUGGAGCA